rnacentral:rRNA from 1 species
AUACGGAGGGUGCAAACGUUGUUCGGAAUUACUGGGCGUAAAGCGCGCGUAGGCGGUUUGUUAAGUCAGAUGUGAAAGUCCACAGCUCAACUGUGGAAGUGCAUUUGAAGCUGGCAGACUUGAGUACUGGAGGGGGUGGUGGAAUUCCCGGUGUAGAGGUGAAAUUCGUAGAUAUCGGGAGGAAUACCGGUGGCGAAGGCGACCACCUGGCCAGAUACUGACGCUGAGGUGCGAAAGCGUGGGGAGCAAACAGGAUUAGAUACCCUAGUAGUCC